rnacentral:lncRNA from 1 species
CCGUGCCCCUGCUCGCGCUGCAGCCCGUGGAAGGGUUCCGUCCAGCGUAUCCUUCAGAUCUUGCUGUAGGCCUCUGGUGUCUGUGCGCGCGCGGCAGGGGCGGCGGCGGCGACGGCCGGAGGUGUACGGUCAGCGGGUUGCGGAGGAUCGUGCGGGUCGCAAAGGGAAGCCGAGUGCUCCUGCGGCUCCCAGACUGCAACCAGGUGUAAAUCCAAACCGCUUCCAACUCAAGGCAAGUAACAGCCCACGGUGUUCUGGCAGGAAAACAUCAGCUAAGAAAGGAAACUGGGUCCUAUGGCUUGGACUUUCCAACUCUGACAGACCGGCAGGACAGAAACAACUGGUUCAGGAGCCCUUGCCAGCCUCUAGAGAAAUCCCAGAACACUCAGCCCUGAUGACACAUUAAUACCCUGCACAUAUUGGAGACUGCUGACCACGCAUACUCACCAAGCCACAGACUUGUCUUCCACAAGCACGUUCUUACCUCAGCCACAAAGUGCCCAAGCCACAUGUACUAAAGGUUGAAAUCAGAGACAUGUACAGGGUAUUAAACAGAUACCAAGGGGAACAGUUAACUUGAAUAUAGCUUGAAUAGAAAGUCAAAAUCAGCAACAAGUCUACAAUCCAGUGCUGAUAUCAGAUACAAGCUUCAAGGACAACUUUCUGUGUAUGUUUUUUUUUUUUUUUUUGAGACGUAGUCUCGCCCUGUUGCCCAGGCUGGAGUGCAGUGGUGCAAUCUCGGCUCACCACAACCUCUGCCUCCCAGGUUCAAGUGAUUCUCCUGCCUCAGCCUCCCCAGUAGCUGGGAUUAUAGGCGAAUGCCACCAUGCCUGGCUAAUUUUUGUAUUUUUAGUAGAGACGGGGUUUCAGCAUGUUGGCCAGGCCGGUCUCAAACUCCUGACCUUGUGAUCCACCCGUCUCGGCCUCCCAAAGUGCUGGGAUUAUAGGCGUGAGCCACCACUUCUGGCCACAAAUUUCUUUUUGAAGGCUUAUUCCAGUUUUGUGAGGCUAGCAUGAGGUGUAUGCAUUUGCCAGGGGCAAAUUUAUACUGCUGAAUUAACCCAUGCAACAAAUGCUGCACAUCUGCUCGCAGUCCAUUUAGAGGCAUUUGCGGUAGACAAUGGAGGGGCCAGACUCAUCAUACAUACCUGAUGGCUAACCCACAUGCUUGCAGUCCAUUUAGAGGCAUUUGCAGUGGAUGAUGGAGGGGCCACAUACCUAAUUGCUAAUCCACAUCUGCUGGAAGGUGGACAGUGAGGCCAGGAUGGAACCACCAAUCCACACCGAGUACUUGUGCUCUGGGGGCAUGAUGAACUUGAUCUUCAUGGUGCUGGAUGCCAGCGUGGUGAUGCCAGGGCACAUGGUGGUGCUGCUGGACAGCACUGUGUUGGCGUACAGGUCUUUGCGGAUGUCCACGUCACACUUCAUGAUGGAGUUGAAGGUGGUCUUGUGGAUGCCGCAGGAUUCCAUGCCCAAGAAGGAAGGCUGGAACAGCACCUGCAGACACCAGAACCACUUGUUGCCGAUGGUGAUGACCUGACCUGGCCAUCAGGCAGCUCAUAGCUCUUCUCCAGGGAGGAGGAGGAUGUGGCAGUGGCCAUCUCCUGCUCGAAGUCCAGGGCGAUGUAGCACACCUUCUCGUUGAUGUCGCGCACAAUCUCCUGCUUGGCCGUGAUGGUGAAGCUUGGUGAGGAUCUUCAUGAGGUAGUUGGUCAGGUCCUGGCCAGCCAGGUCCAGACGCAGGAUGGCGUGGUGGGAGGGCAUGGCCCUCGUAGAUGGGUACCAUGUAGGUGGCCCUGUCUCCAGAGUCCAUGACAGUGCCAGUGAUGCGCCCAGAGGCUUAGAGGGACAACACGGCCUGGAUGGCCACAUACAUGGCUGGGGUGUUGAAGGUCUCAAACAUGAUCUGAGUCAUCUUUUCUCUGUUGGCCUUGGGGUUCGAGGGGCCUCGGCCAACAGCACCGGGUGCUUCUCUGGGGUCAUGCACAGCUCGUUGUAGAAGGUGUGGUGCCAGAUCUUCUCCAUGUCAUCCCAGAUGGUGAUGAUGCCAUGCUCGAUAGGGUACUUCAGGGUCAGGAUGUCGUGCUUGCUCUGGGCCUCAUGGCCCAUGUAGGAGUCCUUCUGGCCCAUGCCCACCAUCACACCCUGGUGCCGGGGUCACCUGAUGAUGGAGGGGAACACAGCUCAGGGGCCAUCCAUCCCCAGCAAAGCCAGCUUUGCACAUGCCAGAGCCAUUGUCAAUGAUGAGCGCGGCGAUCUCUAUUUCCAUUGCAACCUGUGGAAGAGCAGGGCGGUGGAGCCAUGGGAAGACACGGUGUGGGGGCUGGUGGCAGCAAGUGACUGUAUUACUGGAUUUUGAAGUUAACAAUUAGCCAAAUACUGAUUUUUGAUGGAAAUUUAUUCUUAAUUAUUUUCUUUUAGAA